AGUGAACGCUGGCGGCGUGCCUAAUACAUGCAAGUCGAACGGUGUGGCUCUCGGGCUUGUAAUUUAUAUCUAAUCUGCCCUACUCUAGAGGACAACAGCUGGUAACGGCUGCUAAUACUCCCUAGUUUAGUAGGUGGCUAUAUUGUUUCAGCUAGUUGGUGAGGUAAUGGCUCACCAAGGCUAUGACGCAUACCUGGUCUGAGAGGAUGAUCAGUCACACUGGAACUGAGAAACGGUCCAGACUCCUACGGGAGGCAGCAGUAGGGAAUAUUGCUCAAUGGGGGAAACCCUGAAGCAGCAACGCCGCGUGGAGGAUGACACUUUUCGGAGCGUAAACUCCUUUUGUUAGGGAAGCGGAACCUAAGGAAAAAGCACCGGCUAACUCCGUGCCAGCAGCCGCGGUAAUA
rnacentral:rRNA from 1 species